UGGCUCGGAGGAGCCGCGGAACCCCCAACGCGCGACUCAGACGGAGACACCCACUCUUUCGGCGCUAGCGGCGGCUGGAAGGGACGAGAGCCUGGCCUAGGAGGAAGGAGGCGGCUCCAGGACCGCAUUACCUGAUCAGAGCCGCGACCCUCAUGCUGGGCGCAGUGCGCGUGCGUGCGGCGAGCGCGGGCGGGAGCCAGGAGGUCGCGCCGCAGCUCGCGUGACGCACCGCGGGGCCUCGCCCGGGUGUUCGCUCCGCCGCCUGUCCGCGGAUCGGCGCUGCGAGCCCCGCGGCUGCCUGCGGGACACCUGAGCGCGGAGGGUGCGGCACCUUGGCACCUUGACCCUGUGGCAGGGACAUCUCGGCCCAGGAAAGAAUGAGGUUUAGGCACGGCCUAACCACCUAAGUGAGGGCACUGAAGCUGCCGGGGGAAGGGCAAGGUCCGCGUUGCAGAGCCCAAGCCCAGUGGCGCAGGAUUUGUUUUGGUCUCAGUUUGCUUCAUCUCUGGAAUGGAGAUGGUUUCCUAUGUGAUCAUGAAAAUUUCUCCCAGCUCUGAAGACCUUUUAUUUUGUAAGAAUCAUUGUGAAGGUAUGGGCUUGGCAAAUGAAUGGAAAGAUGAGCAAUGGGAGAGGAAAGAAUUGAAGAGGGCUGUGAGGUUUGAAGAAUGGGAUCCAUCCAGGAAAGAGCCUGCCCACUUGACUCUUCUACCUGUAGCCUCUCCAGAAUACUGGAUGUAAAAGGAGAUCUUCACGGGUUAAAAAAAUGCCUUUCCAGUAAAGCUAACAAAAAACAAAACAAAAUAAAACCAUAUCCAAAAUACUAAACAGCUGUCUCCAAGAUCAGAAGGCAUCAGAAAAGACCCUCAAGAGUUGUCUAAUCCCAGAGGAAGAUCUUAAGUGGGGAUGUGCUCACAGCAGAAACCUUGGAAAUUUCAGGGAGUGAAAUUUUAUUGUCAGAACUUUCAAUAAAAGUGUAGCCACAGAUCCUGGGAGCAUUAAAUAAAAAUUACCAACAAGCUGUCUUACCUGUGUGCACUCCACUGAAAGGAAGGGCAAACAUGAGCAAGGAGCUCUUGUACAUCAGUCAAAAUUCUGACAGCUACCCUGUGAAGUUUGACGGGCUGCCAUGUGCUAGACUACCUAAGAUACUCUUAACUGAACCAUAAAAAGACAAAUAAAUUAGUAAUUGUAUCCCUCCUGUCAAUGUCCUUUUUCGUGAACUUCUCAAGGUGUUGGUUAACAUUGUCUGGAAUGAUUUAUCAAUAUAUUCUUAGCUUUCUUAGGAAACACAGAUAGACUUGAUUUUUUCCAAAUUGUUUUUUGAAUUGAUUUAAGAAAAUGAUACAGAUAUUGCCAAUUGCUGGGCCUCUCUUUUUCA
rnacentral:lncRNA from 10 species